UCCUGCCAUACUUGUAUAGAUUCAAAAAGUGGCAGUUGCUGUGCUGGAUCCCUGGGCUGGGUGUCUUUACCUGGUUGCCAUGGUGUUGUGGUUCUGAUGGAUUGUGGUGGGGGCUGGAGGUUCUGCUGCUCCCCUUGGGCUCUCUGGACUCGGCCGUUGGCAGGAGGGCUUUCUGGUCACUCUUGCUGCUCAUGCCAAUUUUUCAUCCAUAUUUGGCUGAGGGGGAGUGCUGAACAUGGCCUCAAGGAAAGAGCUCAAUUACUGAAGAAGCCACGGUUCCAGGCAUCAGGACCAAGGAUGAGAACCUAGGCUGGGAAGAUGCCCUAAGUUCCCUGAUGUCCUUUGUUCUUAAAAUUCUGAGUACCGUGCAGGGAUAUUUUCUGUCCCCCUCUCAACACUGGAUCUGGAGCGCAUUCAAUACAGUCAAUUGGCAACAGGUGCAGGGCAGGCAAAAACCAAGGAUGUCCUCCAGCAUUGUAUAAUUACUGUAGCUGAUAGAAUUCACUACUACAAGACAUGGUGAUGUCCGCUAGCUUUAAAGUCACCGUGAUAAUUUCCUGGAGGCAUCUGACUGUUUACUGUUGGAAGCAGAUUGUGGGUUAGAUUUGGUCUGAUUGAGCAGGGCUCUCCUGAGGUACUCAUGCCACAUGUGUUGCGUCUUGCUUCUCAUCACUGUGUCUUGAAGCCAGAGGAAGAUGCUGAAGAGAUGCUGCUAGAGACCGUCACCACUGAGUGGUCUUGUGAGGUGUGACAUGAGAAUCCAGUCCCGUACGGAAGGGCUGGGCAGGAGGAUAGGAGAUUCUGCAUUUCCAUCCAUAGUAGUCUGACAGUGGAACAGAUCUAGAUUGGGGGACAAAUGUAGUUCCUGCAUGUUGUCGAGGAAUUCUGAUUGAUGGGAUGAAAUCCAGGGCUCUAUUACACAUGCACACCCUCAUUACAAAACAUAGGAAGGAGGUGGUUUGAAAUAUCACUAUGAAACAGCAUGUGAAGGAUUUGGAGUUGAGUGGUUCUAUGUUGAGAAAGGUUUUUAAUGCUCCUGAGAACCCUGCUUUCCCUCUCCCCUUUCCCCACUCUGUGGGCUUUCAGAUCGAUUUUUUUGCCAAAUGUAUCUAGAGUCUCACAUGGGGAGGAAGCCAUCUGGGAGCGGAAUUAAUGACAGGUCAUGGCCAGGGAAAUAUCCUGUACCACCUCUCCAAUUGCUUUAUUCUAACCCCGCCCCCCGCCCCCAUUUCAGGUUUGUGUAACUUGGGUGUGAGGCAUCGAAUGAUUCUCAAGCUCCUGAUACAUGUUGUGUGGUAUGGGGGACAUAUUUCUGGCAAAUAUACUAGGUAUCUCUUGAUCAAAGAGGCAUUUCAUGUAGAAAAGGGUCAUCUCCUCAUGUUAAAGCCCAGAGUCCUAUACAGCACAAUGGAGGACCCACACUUCUGACUCUCUGACUCACAUGGUCUCCUCCUCUUGAAAUGCACUCCAACCCUACUCUGGAAAGAUAGGAGAGAAGAGGGCAUUUGGAUUAAGAAAUUUAAUCCAUUUGGUUCCUCUUAGGGCCAAACUAUGCAAGAGUAGGCAUAUUCAUUCCUUUCUUAAACAAAUAGCAAUAGAGAUAUAAAUGGGUUCCAUUCCUGUUUUGUUUCCAUUCUCUCAGAAACAAAUGCACCCCAGAACAAAUGGCAGUACAUGGCAAAUAAUAGACUUUCCUUUUGGAUCUCCCAAGUCACAGACUUUUCAUUCAAUUGUUUUUAUUUUGGCAAAAAGAGAAGAGAGAAAUGCCAUUUUUAAACUUUAAAAUGGAGCUCCAGAUGCAGCCACUACCUACUGGAGGCCAUUUUGAAUCAUGGUGGCCAUUUUGUUGACAGCAGUGCAUUAGUGGCUCACUGCUGGACAUAUGAUAAAACAAAAUAGCCACUGGGAUUGUGGUAGCUAUGCCUCAGCGCUCCUCAGAGAACCCAAUAGUUAAGGCUAUUGUAUCCUGUUCCAUUUUUUAUAAGAAAAAUUAAGAAAAUAUAUGAACCUAUAUUAAACAAAUGAGAAAAAUGAACUAAAUGAAAACAACAAAGUAAAACUGAAAAAGAAAAUCAAAUGACAACCUAAAAGCCUGUGGGGCUGUAAGUUCCUGAACCCUCGGUUGGGUGAUGGGGCUUGAUGCAUUACAUGGAUAGGAAACGAUCCUUUAAAGCCUCUGAAUAUCCAUGGGGGCUGAUUCUGUAUGGGAUUUCAGAUUAUGAUGGGGUAGUGUAGUGACCAGCCUUCCUUCCUUCUAUAGGGUUAAUAGGAAGUGAAGCCCUGUUUUGACUGACAGGCUGGUGACCUCCAGGGCUAGACCAAUCAGUCCACCAGGUGGGUGGGACAUGAGAGCUGCAGGGGAACAAACAGGAAGUCUUGGCUGAGAGUGCGGACUAACCUGAAGUCUGUGCUGGGAGCAUGGAGGACAUGCAGCAAUGGAGUUUGCUGCAGCAGGAUGGCUGUAGAUCCUUGUAAGACAGGAUUGCAGGAGGUUUGAUUCUUAUCAUGAGUUUGGUGAGUUCAAAGACAGGAAGCCAGGGCUUUUGCUUUGGGAAUUUAGCAUGGAAAAAGUGUGUUUAGUCAGACUUCACAUCAGGAAUUUAUAUUUCUUUGUGUGUGUGUUUUGCAUUUUCCUAAAUAUCUGUUCAUUGUAACUAAGUAACUAAGAUUUCAAAGUGUGCCGCCUUAGAACCAGCAAGGCUAUUGAAGCAUUCUUGUAACCAAGUUAAACAUUUUUAGGAGUAUCUAAAAGCCUCAGAUGGAACUAGUCUGUAGUAAUUUUAAUAAACAAUCUUUUUUCUGUUCUUUA